rnacentral:rRNA from 1 species
AUUGAACGCUGGCGGCAGGCUUAACACAUGCAAGUCGAGCGGAGAGAGGUAGCUUGCUACUGAUCUUAGCGGCGGACGGGUGAGUAAUGCUUAGGAAUCUGCCUAUUAGUGGGGGACAACAUUUCGAAAGGAAUGCUAAUACCGCAUACGUCCUACGGGAGAAAGCAGGGGAUCUUCGGACCUUGCGCUAAUAGAUGGGCCUAAGUCGGAUUAGCUAGUUGGUGGGGUAAAGGCCUACCAAGGCGACGAUCUGUAGCGGGUCUGAGAGGAUGAUCCGCCACACUGGGACUGAGACACGGCCCAGACUCCUACGGGAGGCAGCAGUGGGGAAUAUUGGACAAUGGGCGGAAGCCUGAUCCAGCCAUGCCGCGUGUGUGAAGAAGGCCUUAUGGUUGUAAAGCACUUUAAGCGAGGAGGAGGCUACUUUAGUUAAUACCUAGAGAUAGUGGACGUUACUCGCAGAAUAAGCCCCGGCUAACUUCGUGCCAGCCGCCGCGGUAACAC